GGCUCAGAUUGAACGCUGGCGGCAGGCCUAACACAUGCAAGUCGAGCGGUAGAGAGGUGCUUGCAUCUCUUGAGAGCGGCGGACGGGUGAGUAAUGCCUAGGAAUCUGCCUAGUGGUGGGGGAUAACGUUCGGAAACGGACGCUAAUACCGCAUACGUCCUACGGGAGAAAGCGGGGGGAUCUUCGGACCUCGCGCCAUUAGAUGAGCCUAGGUCGGAUUAGCUAGUUGGUGAGGUAAUGGCUCACCAAGGUUUUUCGACGAUCCGUAACUGGUCUGAGAGGAUGAUCAGUCACACUGGAACUGAGACACGGUCCAGACUCCUACGGGAGGCAGCAGUGGGGAAUAUUGGACAAUGGGCGAAAGCCUGAUCCAGCCAUGCCGCGUGUGUGAAGAAGGUCUUCGGAUUGUAAAGCACUUUAAGUUGGGAGGAAGGGUAGUAACCUAAUACGUUGCUACUUUGACGUUACCGACAGAAUAAGCACCGGCUAACUUCGUG
rnacentral:rRNA from 1 species